rnacentral:rRNA from 1 species
UGGGGAAUCUUCCGCAAUGGGCGAAAGCCUGACGGAGCAACGCCGCGUGAGUGAAGACGGCCUUCGGGUUGUAAAACUCUGUGAUUCGGGACGAAAGAUAAGUAGACGAAUAAUCUGCAUAAGCGACGGUACCGAAAAAGCAAGCCACGGCUAACUACGUGCCAGCAGCCGCGGUAAUACGUAGGUGGCAAGCGUUGUCCGGAAUUCUUGGGCGUAAAGCGCGCGCACGCGGCUACUUAAGUCCAUCUUAAAAGUGCGGGGCUUAACCCCGUGAUGGGAUGGAAACUGAGAAGCUGGAGUGUCGGAGAAGAAAGUGGAAUUCCUAGUGGAGCGGUGAAAAGCGUAGAGAUUAGGAAGAACACCGGUGGCGAAGGCGACUUUCUGGACGACAACUGACGCUUAGGCGCGAAAGCGUGGGGAGCAAACAGG